rnacentral:rRNA from 1 species
CUCGUAGGCGGUUUGUCGCGUCUGCCGUGAAAGUCCGAGGCUCAACUUCGGAUCUGCGGUGGGUACGGGCAGACUAGAGUGAUGUAGGGGAGACUGGAAUUCCUGGUGUAGCGGUGAAAUGCGCAGAUAUCGGGAGGAACACCGAUGGCGAAGGCAGGUCUCUGGGCAUCUACUGACGCUGAGGAGCGAAAGCAUGGGAGCGAACA